UUCAUUUUGGAAGUUUUGCCGCUUUUCAUACAUCCAAGGGGCAUGUAAGUCUAAAAUUUUUAUUAGAAAAAUAUAAGCCUAGGAUAAAAAAUAACUGCCUGCAAUUUGCUUAAUUUUAUCUGACAAAAACAAAAUUUUAUUUCCUAAACAUGCUAAAUGAGAACAGAGUUUGAGUGCUUUGAAAAAGACUAACUUGUUUAACAAUAACAUCAAAACUACUUAAAUUCAGUUAAUUUUGGGAAAAAAACAUUUAAUUUUGUACUGGAAUUUGAACAGUAGCUCGCUGCUGGGGAUUACAGUAUGAUGAGUAUCUCUCCUUUCCGUCGAUACUCCCUUGGUGCUGCAAUAUACACAGUCGACUGGAAGAAGUCCUCGACCUCAGCAUACAUGAAGUCAUAGCAAGAAGCAGUGAAAGCCACAGCAGAGAUUGGAUGGAGCAUAAUUUUUUCUAUGUAUCGGCGCUUCUAUGGAUGUCAUAUUUAGAUCAGAUGAGAUCUGAGCCUUGUUCUGAAUUUCAAAAUCCCCUUUGACAACACCUGCACAGCUGAGCAAUCAACGACCUUCUGACUAAGGGCUGAAUUAUAGUGAAAACUGCCUUUCAGAGACUUUGAAACAGAUUGAUGAAUAAACCACAUGCAUUAUGUCGGAGGAAUCUAGCCGGAGCACCUAUUUAGCAACCAGGACACAAAGAUGUACCUGUAC